ensembl:snRNA U6 U6 spliceosomal RNA
UGGUGUUCUCUUCAGCACUUCUAUACUGAAAUUGGAACAAUAUAGAGAUAGCAUGGCUCCUGCACAAGGAUGACACACAAAUUUCUGAAGCAACCCAAAUUUAA